rnacentral:rRNA from 1 species
CCUACGCGCGGCAGCAGUGAGGUAUAUUGGUCAAUGGCCGUAAGGCUGAACCAGCCUAGUAGCGUGAGGGAAGACUGCCCUAUGGGUUGUAAACCUCUUUUAUGCGGGGGUAAAGGUGUCCACGUGUGGAUGUUUGCAGGUACCGCAUGAAUAAGGACCGGCUAAUUUCGUGCCAGCAGCCGCGGUAAUACGGAAGGUCCGGGCGUUAUCCGGAUUUAUUGGGUUUAAAGUGAGCGUAGGCCGGUCUUUAAGCGUGCCGUGAAAUUUUGUGGCUCAACCAUGAGAGUGCGGCGCGAACUGGAGACCGUGAGUGCGCGGAAGGCAGGCGGAAUUCGUGGUGUAGCGGUGAAAUGCUUAGAUAUCACGAAGAACCCAGAUUGCGAAGGCAGCCUGCCGCAGCGUUACUGACGCUGAAGCUCGAAAGCGCGGGUAUCGAACAGGAUUAGAUACCCGUGUAGUC